rnacentral:rRNA from 1 species
GCUUACGGCCAUACCACCCUGAACACGCCUGAUCUCGUCCGAUCUCGGAAGCUAAGCAGGGUCGGCCCUGGUUAGUACUUGGAUGGGAGACCGCCUGGGAAUACCAGGUGCUGUAAGCU